UACGGAGGGUGCAAGCGUUAUCCGGAAUUACUGGGUUUAAAGGGUGCGUAGGCGGCGUUGUAAGUCAGAGGUGAAAGGUUUCGGCUUAACCGGAGAAUUGCCUUUGAUACUGCAGUGCUAGGAUUGGGUUGAGGUUGGCGGAAUGUGACAUGUAGCGGUGAAAUGCAUAGAUAUGUCAUAGAACACCGAUUGCGAAGGCAGCUGACUGGACCUUGAUUGACGCUGAGGCACGAAAGCGUGGGGAGCAAACAGGAUUAGAUACCCUGGUAGUCCACGCCCUAAACGAUGCUAACUCGAUGUGUGGCCUUCGGGCUGCGCGUCCAAGCGAAAGCGAUAAGUUAGCCACCUGGGGAGUACGUCCGCAAGGAUGAA
rnacentral:rRNA from 1 species